rnacentral:rRNA from 1 species
UACGUAUGGUGCAAGCGUUGUUCGGAAUCACUGGGCGUAAAGGGUGCGCAGGCGGAUUGUUAAGUCGGGAGUGAAAACUGAGGGCUCAACCCUCAGCCUGCUUUCGAAACUGGCAAUCUGGAGUCCCGGAGAGGCAGGCGGAAUUCCCGGUGUAGCGGUGAAAUGCACAGAUAUCGGGAGGAACACCAAUGGCGAAGGCAGCCUGCUGGACGGAGACUGACGCUCAUGCACGAAAGCGUGGGGAUCAAACAGG